rnacentral:rRNA from 1 species
GACGAACGCUGGCGGCGUGCUUAACACAUGCAAGUCGAACGGAAAGGCCUGCUUUCCCUUGUGGAUUGCGGGUACUCGAGUGGCGAACGGGUGAGUAACACGUGAGUGAUCUGCCCCCAACUUGGGGAUAAGCCUGGGAAACUGGGUCUAAUUCCCGAUAGGACUGAAGGGUGGUGCCUGUGGUGGAAAACGAGUUUCUAGUGGUUGGGGAUGAGCUCGCGGCCUAUCAGCUUGUUGGUGGGGUAAUGGCCUACCAAGGCGGCGACGGGUAGCCGGCCUGGGAGGGUGGACGGCCACAUUGGGACUGAGAUACGGCCCAGACUCCUACGGGAGGCAGCAGUGGGGAAUAUUGCACAAUGGGCGGAAGCCUGAUGCAGCGACGCCGCGUGGGGGAUGACGGCCUUCGGGUUGUAAACUCCUUUCGACCGCGAGGAAGCCACCUGGUUGGAAGGGUGGUGACGGUAGUGGUAGAAGAAGCACCGGCUAACUACGUG